rnacentral:lncRNA from 1 species
AGUCAAGUCCACAAUGCACAGACAUUCCUUCCUCUUCUGAGCCAAACCCCAGGCUCAGACACCAUCCCCUCCCUUCUUCCUCCAACCAGCACCUCAUGGAUCCAUAAGACCUCAGCCGGACCCCAGAGGAAACCCAAACAGUGUCUUCAAGGCUCCCAGCCUUUGGGGUGAAAAAGGCAAAAAGAAAGUGCCAGAUUUUUCUGGGGUCAACCUCAGUUAAUGCUGACUCUUCUCUUAUCAAUGUGCUCCAAGAAGGAUGCAAGGACUGAGUACCACACACAAGCUCUCAUCUCCUCUGCUUCUGCCAAACAUGCUUGCAGAAUGCCACUUCCUGGCCCCCAAAGGUCUCCCAGAUGGAAUCAGGCAACAUGGCAGUGAGAGGCAGUGUGGCCUAGCAGACAGUGGCAGUCAAGAGACCUGGCUCUGAAUCCUGCUUCAAACACUUACUAGCUGCUCAACUAUGGACAAGUCACUGAAGGUCUCUGAGCCCCAAUCUCCUCAUUUAUAAAAAGGGUGGCACGAGGAUCAAGUGUAAUGACACAUACAAAGUACUCUUCAAACUAAAGCGCCCACAAUAAUUUGUGGAACUAUUUUCUUUCACCAAAAUUCUCUAUAGGGGCACCUAGUGGUGCAGUGGAUAGAGCACCAGCCGUGCUCUCAGACACUUACUAGCUGUGUGACCCUGGGCAAGUCACUUAACCCCGACUGCCACCCCUCAAUUUUUUUCCUAUACAGUCUUAGUUUUUUAGCAUCUGAGAAGGUGAGCCCAAAAUAAGUGUUAAGCUGAUUCCUGCGGGCCUAGAGUCCCAUACCCUGAGGACUAUGCUGUCAGAUAUAUUAGGGGGAACCAAUAAGAACCAAGGCUGGAAAGAGAGCUGGAACCACAGAGAACCUAGAAUGCCUUAGACUUGAUCUUGCAAGUAAUCAGGAACUGUUAUAAAUGUCUGAACAGGGCAGAGUCUUAACUUCUGCCUUUUAGAUUACUUAUCUCCUUCCACGCUUACAAGCUGCUCUCUGGGCCUCACUUUCCCCAUCUGUAAAAAGAGGGGGGGCUGGACUGGAUGGCCUGAAAGGUCUCUUUCAAUACUACACUUAUGAUCCUACAACACAUGGCGGCUAUAGGCAGGGAUAAGAUAUUAUGAAGAGAGACUAUAAACAACUUGGUCACUGACUGUACAUAGAGGUGAAGAAGCGUGAGGAGGGACGACAAGAUUUCAAGCCUAGGUAACCAGGAGGCCAAUGGUGCCAUUAGUGGGAAUAAGAAAAUCUGAUGGUAUGAGCAGGAGCAGGGAGAGAUGACCAGUUCAAUUUUGGCUGUGUUGAAUUUGUGGAAGCACUGGGACUCCCAAGUGGAGAGGUCCACAGCUAUCUAUUUUUUUUUUUAACAAGACCUUUGAUUACACUGGUAUAAGGAAUGUCUUAUGAGG